UUAUUUUUAAUAUUAUGUUGUAUUUGAUGUGCUAUCCUAUUCAUUUAGUAUAAGCACAUUUUUCUUUAUGUCUUCAGCAUAAUUAUAUGCUUUUUCAGAAUUUUAACAUCAGGACUGCUUCCAGGGUAGCUUUAUUGCCCUUUGUCUUAAGUAUGGAUUAUAGUUUUCAUUCUUUGUAUGUCAAGUAAUUUUGGAUUGUAACUUGAACUUUGAAUAUACUGUAGAAACUCUGAAUUCUAUUUUAUUCUUCUAAAACAAUAUUUCUCAGCUUCAGCACUACUGACAUUUUGAACUGGGUCAUUUUGUUUGUGUUGUUGUGUGUAUUUUGGGAGGGUACUGUUCUAUAUGCAUUGUGGGGUACUGAGUAUUAUCCUUUGUCUCCACUCACUACUUACCAGUAGCAUAACUCUCUCUCCUCCCCACAUCCCCUGCCAAAAAAUGCCUUCAGUCCUUUCUAAGCGCUCUUUUUUAUGGUGUUGGGGCCAAAAUCAUGCAUCUUUACUCACUCUUUCUCAUUGAGAGCUAUGGCUAUAAAGGGUAGUGAUACUUUUACUUAUUUAUUUUUAAGGCAAGCAGUUAACUUAGCUGGAUUCAAACUCCAGGCUGCCUCGUGUGCUGUGGGAAGCAGCCUACGCUCUAUUCAGUUCUUUUCUUUUCAUAUUGGUUGGGUUACUUUGAGUCUGGCCUACAUGAUGGGCAGUUUAGAGGUCAACCAAAGGAUUUCAGCAGAACUUAUACACAGAAUUUCAUUCAGGCUUCCCGUGUCUGAUUGGCUACAGUGUGGGAAUUUCCUCCCACUUUUCAGCCACUACUGAGGAUGCCUUUCGGCAAAAUUCCUUGAAAUUGGAAACUUACAGGGAAAUUCCUUUCCUCCAAGAGUGCGCUCUCCUCCAGUGUUGGCUUGCUUUUGGUUGUUCUCCGUGGUUUUAGAUAGCUGUCUUUAUAUUAAUUCUGGAGUUUACAGUUGAUAUCUGUUGGGGGCUUAGUUUGAUAACAUGUAUUCUUCUAUUACUAGUAGCCAGACCUGUAUGUCUUACUUGACCUGAUGGAGAAAAGUUUCAACUUAUGAGACAAUACUGUGCUAGCUAGUUUUACUGAUUUGUACUCUAAAGUACCCAAGCCUAAAAUAGUAGAGCUGUCUAUCCCACAUGAAACUUCUCUGAUUUUCACUGUUUUUUAUAAAAAGUAUACAUGUUCACAUUUCUGUAGGUUUUUUUAAGCAUCACAAUUUUUAUAAACUUUCUAUAUUUCCAAGGUCUACCUGCUUUGUAUUUUGCCUAGUGAGAGUUUUGUAUUCAUGUAGGAAUAAUCUCUUGGUGUGAGUAUCUAUUUUCCACUCAUCCAAAACAGAUAGAGCAUUGAUUUCACUAAGCGUUAUGUUCUAGUUUGCUUUGGUAUUAUUAUUAGAAAUACCUGGUGAUUAAUUUGAGCUAAGUAUUCUUCUCUACCCUCAUUCCCAGCAUUAUCACCCGCUUUUACCACUUCCAAGGGGUGGAAGCAUUCUCCACAAUGCAUUUUUUCAUGCCAGAGAAAAAUCUAGAAAAAAAUGAAUAAAACGAAGAAAUUCUUUCCCCUUGGUAUCUGUAGCUAACUUGCCUAAGUGUUCUUUCCCACAGUUUAAGUCUUCAGUCCAUAGUUCAUAAGCAAAGGGGUGUAGCGAGCUCUGAUCUUGCCAGAAGAGAGAAUAAGUGAGCUACCCCACGGUGGACAUUCUGGCCAUCUGAAAUGAGUCGAUGCAUGUGGCUUUUGUCUAAAGGCUACAAAUAAAAUGUAACCACUUUCUUCUUUGAGUAGUUGAUAUAGCAAAUAGUUGAAACAGAAGUUUUGAUUGGCAAAUCAGGAUGUGGUAGAUACUUUAACAAAGAGUAGAACUAUUACCAGUUUUAUGUGUUGCUGUUUGUAUCUCUUUCACAGUUUUGAUAAUAUCACAUCCUGGAAAGUGAAACAGAAAAUUAUUAUUCCAUUUUAAAUGACUAAAUUUGCUUUCAUGGUAUUUACAGUGAAAGAGUAAAUUAGAAAGUGAAUGGAUGACUGUUCAUGAGAAAAAGCAGGGUAAAAAGAUUUUAUUUAAUUAAUUGAAAAUAUUAGGGUCAAAACAUAGGCUUAUGUUAUGUUUUGUGAAUUGUGCUGUGUUGUAGACAUUUGAUGAGUCCUAACAUAGAAUUGAUCUAGCUCUUGAAAUACCAUUUUUGAUUGAGUAUAAAUGGGAUAUAGGCACCUUACAACUUCAGAAUUCGAGGAAGAUGAUGUGAAUCUUCCAAUUUUAUCUAUUUGAUUCAAAUGGUAUGUUUUUUCACAUUUCUCAUAAUUUCCACGUCAACUCCCAUGAUGAUCAUGCAGGAAAGCAGCAUGAUUGCACUUCUUGUAGUGCAUACCAUCACUAAAACAUAGUUACUGUCUUUCUGUGGUCUUAAGAAAAAUUCAGAAACAGCAUACCAAUGUACAUAUAAGAUAAAUAAGCUUAUGUGGUACAGUAAGUGUUCUGUUCUGAGAAAUACCUUGAUUCGUAUCCUAAUGUCUGAUGUUAUUGGUAGUUCUCAAACUUCCCCAAUUCUGCUUUCAUCUAAAUUCAUCUUAUCUAUCUAUUGUUAAAUAAUCUAUCAGUCCAUUUUUAUCUAUCAUCUAUAUAUCUGUCUUUAUCAAUCAUUCGUCUGUAAUCUAUCUGUGCCGUUUGGCAUAAGAGACAGAAGGGCAUAGCAGUGGAAACUCAAAGGAGUUACCUCCAUGUGAAUGGACAGUGGUGAUGGUGAUCUGUGAGGUGGUGAUGUAUAGAAAGAAAAACUAGAAGAGAGCAUGCCCUAACUCAGGGACCUUGUCCAGCAGGCACUCUGGCCUUGUUAUACUGUGCUUGAAUAUGAAAAAAAAAAAAAUCAAAAUAGUGCUGACAUUCUUUGUCUUCUGGGUCUGAGAAAACUUAGAGUAGAUAUGAUGACUCUGCCAUUUCAGUCUUUUGUAUUUCCACAUUUAGAGCUCAGUUUUAAUUAUGUAGAAUUAUUUCUCCAGCCUGUGUUAAACUAGACCAUGGAUUGGCAAACUUUUUUUGUAAAUUGCCAAAUACACAUUUUCAGUUCUGAAAGCCUUGUGGUCUUUGUUGCAGCUAAUCUACUCUGCUGUUGUGUUAUGAAAGCAGCCAUAGGUAAUUUAUAAUUGAAUGAGUGCGCUGUGCCUUUCUUCCAAUAAAACUUUACAAAAGCAUCCUGUGGGCUGGAGUUUACCCUUUGGGAAACCAGAGCAUUGGCUAAACUGGAACCUGAAAAAAUAAUCACAUCAACUCAGCCACAUGGUAAUAAUAUUUAGAGUAUUAUUUCAACAUUUUCAUUUUCAUAAAAAUUUUUUUAGCUCUUUUGCCAAAUUCCAUCUGUGAGUGAUACAAAUGACUACCACGUGCCAUUAACAUCACCUAAACAGUGCAAAACAAGCAUAGUAGAAGUAAUUGGAAUGAUAUAAACCCCUUGCUGUAAUAGUUAUAGUUGAUAAAUUAUGUUUCAAAAUUGAACCUAUUUCUUCCAAAUUUCAUCUAUAAAGUUCCAAGGAGUUCCAAAAUCUUGCCUGCCUUCUUUUCCCAGUUAGCAGUAUUGUCUCUGAGCAGCCAUGGUGGUAUCCAUCCUCCUUGGACAAUGAAUUUAGCCUAUUUUGACUUCAUUUGAGCAGUUGUAAUUGUUUCACCACAUCAGAGUAAGAUUACUACAUGCCAGAGCUAUUCUUUAACUCAGCUUGUAAAAACAUGAUAGCAUCAACAAUAUACAUAGCAAAUGAAUGCCAUCUUUAAUCCAAUUAAAUGGUUUUUACAAAUUUGCUCUUGUUUGUUGAUGCUAUCUGCAUUGCAGUAAUUAAAGGUGAGGUAAAAAGAAUGAAUAAACUGCCAAGUUAAAAUUAAAUUUGGGCAAUUUCUCUUUUGCAGUAAUGUAUGUAUAUUUACUCAAAACAUAUGCCAAAUUUAGUGUUGAAAGGCUCAUUCAAAUCAAUUGGGAAAGCACGUAAAUGAACAAUUCAUAAAAGAAAAGCAUUGCAAAUGGCCAAGAGCAUAGAAAAUGUGCUCAAUCUUACCAGUCAUUAUAAGGAAAUAAUGAAAUUUGUGUAUAUAUGAAAUACUUAAAAUAUAUAUAAAAUAAAACAAUUAUUUGCCUUUUUUCACCUAUCAGAUUAACAGAUUAUAUGUGUUAACAAGGUGGGGAGAAUUUACAACUCCUGAUAUGUUAAAAUCUUUCAGGAAGGUAGUAGAAAAUAUAUGUAAGAUGGAAAUUAGCACUUUUGACCAACAAUUUUAGUUUUAGAUAUUUACCUAUAAGGAUAUAAUAGGAGGUGUUCAAAGAUGCAUGUAACUCAAUGUAGUAUUAAUUAUAAUUGUAAAAUAGUAAAUAACAUUUUUGUCAAAUCAUAAUGUUAGGAAAAUUAGUGAUGGCACAUUUAACCAAUUGAAUUAUAUUCAGUUCUGAAUACCGUGAUGCAUGUUCAAAUUAAUUGAUACAAAAAUCCAACAACUUUAGCAGUUUGUUUACCAGUUAUUGAGUACCAACUGUGUUCAACAUUGUUAUUUCACUCAUAUGAAAUGAUAAAUGUAUGUGCGUGUUAUGAUACGGUCAAUAAAACCACUUUUAUAGGAAGAAUACUCACAAAA
rnacentral:lncRNA from 1 species